rnacentral:rRNA from 1 species
AUACGUAGGGGGCAAGCGUUGUCCGGAAUUACUGGGCGUAAAGAGCUCGUAGGCGGCUCAGCAAGUCGGUCGUGAAAGCCCGAGGCUCAACCUCGGAACUGCGGUCGAUACUGCUGUGGCUAGAGUCCGGUAGAGGAGAGUGGAAUUCCCGGUGUAGCGGUGGAAUGCGCAGAUAUCGGGAGGAACACCAGUGGCGAAGGCGGCUUCCUGGCCUAAAACUGACGCUGAGGUGCGAAAGCGUGGGUAGCAAACGGGAUUAGAAACCCCAGUAGUCC